UACGUAGGGUGCGAGCGUUAAUCGGAAUUACUGGGCGUAAAGCGUGCGCAGGCGGUUUUGUAAGUCUGACGUGAAAUCCCCGGGCUUAACCUGGGAAUUGCGUUGGAGACUGCAAGGCUGGAGUCUGGCAGAGGGGGGUAGAAUUCCACGUGUAGCAGUGAAAUGCGUAGAUAUGCGGAGGAACACCGAUGGCGAAGGCAAUCCCCUGGGCCCGCACUGACGCUCAUGCACGAAAGCGUGGGGAGCAAACAGG
rnacentral:rRNA from 1 species